UGGGGAAUAUUGGACAAUGGGCGCAAGCCUGAUCCAGCCAUGCCGCGUGAGUGAUGAAGGCCUUAGGGUUGUAAAGCUCUUUCGUCAGGGACGAUAAUGACGGUACCUGAAGAAGAAGCCCCGGCUAACUUCGUGCCAGCAGCCGCGGUAAUACGAAGGGGGCUAGCGUUGUUCGGAAUCACUGGGCGUAAAGCGCACGUAGGCGGAUUUUUAAGUCAGGGGUGAAAUGCCAGGGCUCAACCUUGGAACUGCCUUUGAUACUGGGGAUCUGGAGUCCGGGAGAGGUGAGUGGAACUGCGAGUGUAGAGGUGAAAUUCGUAGAUAUUCGCAAGAACACCAGUGGCGAAGGCGGCUCACUGGCCCGGUACUGACGCUGAGGUGCGAAAGCGUGGGGAGCAAACAGGAUUAGAUACCCCUGUAGUCC
rnacentral:rRNA from 1 species